UACGUAGGGUGCAAGCGUUAAUCGGAAUUACUGGGCGUAAAGCGUGCGCAGGCGGUUUUGCAAGUCAGCUGUGAAAGCCCCGGGCUUAACCUGGGAAUUGCGGUUGAAACUACAGGGCUAGAAUCUGGCAGAGGGGGGUGGAAUUCCACGUGUAGCAGUGAAAUGCGUAGAGAUGUGGAGGAACACCGAUGGCGAAGGCAGCCCCCUGGGCUGAGAUUGACGCUCAGGCACGAAAGCGUGGGGAGCAAACAGG
rnacentral:rRNA from 1 species